rnacentral:misc_RNA from 1 species
UUCAAACCUUGAGAUUGACCAAAUUGAGAACGGGGUAACUGUUGUAUCAGAAUUGACUAAGGGUGUUGAACGUUGAUACCAAGACUUCUAGUUAUGAUUCAGUCAACAAUGUUCCUGUCUAUUUGUAUGGGAAAUCAGGAAGGAUUGAAAAGAGCAGGGAAACAUUUUAUGAUAUUUCUCAUAAUGGGAAAAGAAGUGUGCUUCUUUGGAAUUCUAUGAUAAAUGCAUAUCUUCAAAAUGGUUUCCCUUUGGACGCUUUGAGUCUUUUUGAGUUAAUGGUGGAGGACCCUACUUG